AACUGGAUACGCGUUUCCAUAUAUGUAUAGUAUAUAUUUAGCAUUUACAAAAUUUGAAAGCAUAGGUCUGGUCAGGUCAGGUCGUCUUAUUGCAGGUAUUCACAUUCUCAAAAGCAAAGAAGCCUCUCCAUCUCAAAAGUUUCAGAAUUCCUCCGGAUUGAUUGAAAAUAAUUGUGGGAAUUUCCUGUUUGGUAUCUCUCUUCUUAAAUAUGUGUCCUAUAAGGUUUCUCUUGGUGUUUUUCUCUGCCGUAUUGGCAGGAUAUAUGGCCUGGAAGACGGUUCGCUCAAUGCCCGAAUCUGAUAAUAUGUUUUCAGAGGAUUCCACAGACCAACAAAAGUUUAAUUUAUAUAAUAAGAUCAUAUGGAUGGUUCAUAGGAUUAUUUGUUUGGGUUUUUUUUUAUUUUCCUAAUAUUUGAGGAUUCUUGGAUUUCAGGUUCUGGGUGUUUGUUAACAUGGCCAGCGGGCGAUAUCUGUGGAGGAAUCUCAGAGAGAUGAAGAAAGAUUAAAAGCUCAUAGGAGGAGAUUCAAGAGAAUGGAAUAAACAGAAGGGGAAAUAUGAUUCUUUUGUUUCAUUUCUGACAAUUGAAUAUCAUGGGCAAUGGUUGUUUAAAAACCUAGAUUCAAAAUAUAUUCAGUAAACCCCAAUAUCCAAAUAAAUUUAGUAGCUAAUUUUGAAAAAUAUAAAAUCAUAUCAUGUAUACAUUUCAUGUAUACAAAUGUAUACUCGAUCAAAUCAAUCGCAUCAAGUCAUGCAAUCUUGGUGUUAGUAGUUGAGGUUUCAUUCAAGAAUUGUGUUGGAAUGUGAAAAGUAGUACGUAUGUAGUAUAUGCAUGUCUUUUUUGUCAAAAGUAAAAUACAAUCACAUCCCUUUUAAAUAAUUAUAAUAACACUAAUUCCUUCUUAAUUUUUUAAGUAACCGUUAGUACCCUGGUAAGUUUUUAAGGUUGACUAAAUAGAUAAAAUUACAUAUUUAUCCUUGUAUAUUAUCAAA
rnacentral:lncRNA from 1 species